CAGCGAAAUGCGAUAAGUAAUGUGAAUUGCAGAAUUCAGUGAAUCAUCGAAUCUUUGAACGCACCUUGCGCCCUUUGGCUAUUCUGAAGGGCAUGCCUGUUUGAGUAUCAUGAACACCUCAACUCUCAUGGCCUGCCAUGAUGAGCUUGGACUUUGGAGGUCUUGCCGGUGUACCGUCGGCUCCUCUCAAACGAAUCAGCUUGCCAGCGUUUGGCGGCGUCACAGGUGUGAUAACUAUCUACGCUUGUGGACUUCCGCCAGGCAACCUCCAGCGAUGGGGGUUCGCUGGAGCUCACAAACGUCUCUCCUGAGCGAGGACAGCUUUUUGAACGUUUGAUCUCAAAUCAGGUAGGACUACCCGCUGAACUUAAGCAUAUCAAUAAGCGGAGGAAAAGAAACU
rnacentral:rRNA from 1 species